AAUGUUACACAAGCAGAAAGGGAGACAGUGGUGGAAGACAUCAAACACAAUAUACUUUUCACCCAUGGUACUGGCAACAUGACAAUUAACUCACUCAUGGUAACAGCAACAUGAGACUUAACUAAGCUGAUUAAACCAAUUGAACGACAAAAACACAAAAAGUCAAUAACACU